GGCCAAAGGAAAUCACAAGGCCAAGGCCAAGGAUACAUAUAUUCAACUUUUCUAAUUUUUGUGCUUUGAUUUUUUUAUUGGUUCUUACGGCCCAUCUUGGUUUUAACCUUCCUCAAACUCCAUUGUUCAUAUUUAAUAUUUCCCUUAGACUACUGCCAAUCCACUUUCUUCCCUGACCUGUAACUUGCAACUAUUCUAACGCGUUUCUAAUCUGCUGAUCUACCUUAUUCCCAACCUUAUGCACACUGGAACCUUACCUGAGUUUCUAUGUUCCUGUAGGAAAUCUAAACCAAUCCCUCGCUUCUUUUCCAAUUUAGAACAUAACAGAGGAGAACUAACCUUUUUGGAGACCUUACUUUGUGCCAAGCACUAACUCAUAUACCAUCUCAUUCAUCUUCAUAGCUCUGAGAAACAGGACUUUUAAUCCCCAUGACACAGAUGAGAAACCUGAGGCUCAGAAAGGGAAAGAACUCACCCAGAAUUACAGAACUGGUGAUUCUUAGAAUUCACACCAAAACAUACAACUGAUUUCAAAACUUAGUCUUUCUCUCUUUAUCCAAUUGUCUUCAUCCCACCUGACUUUUCUCUAAGUCACAGGCUUAACCCUUUGUUAAUCAAAUCUGGGUUCUUGCUGUUGCCUUUGGGAAAUCUGAGCAAGUGACUUCAUUGUCUUAGGGACAGGAACAAAUCAAAGACUGCUGAGUCCGGUGGUACAUGCAUGUAAUGCCAGCAGCUGGGGAGAAUGAGGCAGGAAGGUUUCAAGUGCAAGGCCUGCCUCAGC
rnacentral:lncRNA from 1 species